AUGGUGCUCACACAAAAGGGAAACAGUUUGCUGAGACACGUGAAUGAAUUAAUUGACCCUAUCACAGAAGAAUGGGAUGAGGACCUUCUAAGGCAUAUUUUUCUUCCUGUCGAUGUUGAAAGAAUUCUCAUAAUUCCUCUUUCUCCAUUGUUGGAAGACUUUGUGGCCUGGAAUGGAACCAAAUCACAUACUUUUUCAGUCAGAUCUGCAUACUACAUUGAGUGGGAGCACCAGUAUGGCGCUAGAGUGAGAGGUGAAGUUGCUAGUACGACAGGAACGAACCAUGUGUGGGACAUCUUAUGGAAGCUGCAAGUACCAAGCAAGGUUAAUUUUUUUGUCUGGCGCGCCCUCCAUGGUACUGUCCCGGGCAUGUGUAUCCUAAGCAACAGACACAUAAAGGUUAACCCUCAGUGUCCUAUCUGUAAGUCGGGGCCGGAGGACAUUCGCCACCUGAUCUUCACUUGUACACGUGCAAAAGAGGUGUGGGGAAAACUUGGUCUGCUAGAGGAUAUUAACUUGGCGCUUUGUGUGGAUCGAUCGGGCUCGGUGGUGUUAGAAGAACUGCUCAGGAACCCGUUAAAGAAGUCCCCAGUCCUCGGUCAGCUAGGACUGCAGGAGACGAUCGCCGUGGCAGCUUGGUAUAUCUGGUACGAACGACGGGAAGCGGUGAAGGGGGCUCAUAUAAAGAGCGCAGUACACACUACUUUUGCCAUCCAGGCGAUUACUAUCAAUUAUGAGAAACCGGCCAAGGUAGUGUUACCCACGGCAAGGUGGGAGAAGCCUUCACCGGGAAACUACAAACUCAACAUUGAUGCUUCAUUUUUUGAAGAUGGGAGUGGAGCAAUCGCGGCUGUUCUUAGAAACUGCAAGGGUGAGGCAUUAUCUGGUGUAGCUGAACCCUUCCAGAAUGUGAUGAAUGCACAAACAGCGAAGGCUCUUGCUGUCAAACGAGGGCUCAAGAUGCUAUUUGAUCGAGGCUGCUCUAGAGUUGUUGUGGAAUCAGAUUGCCUCGAGCUCAUUGAGGCAUUCAAGGGUGAGUCGGACAUCUGGAGCUCCUACACUCCUAUUCUAAUCGAUUGCUUUGAUUUAGCACAUGGAAUUCCUUCGAUUUCUUUCCAGCAUUGCCCGCGGGAAGCCAACAAUCUGGCACAUUUUUUAGCAAGAUAUAGCUAUGAGCAAGGUAGUAGUAUUGAGUGGGUGGAUGAAGCACCAAACUUUUUGCUUUCGCAUGUACUAUCUGAUGUAACCUUGCCAAGAGAUGAAUAA
rnacentral:rRNA from 1 species